UGGGGAAUAUUGCACAAUGGGCGCAAGCCUGAUGCAGCCAUGCCGCGUGUAUGAAGAAGGCCUUCGGGUUGCAAAGUACUUUCAGCGGGGAGGAAGGUGUUGUGGUUAAUAACCACAGCAAUUGACGUUACCCGCAGAAGAAGCACCGGCUAACUCCGUGCCAGCAGCCGCGGUAAUACGGAGGGUGCAAGCGUUAAUCGGAAUUACUGGGCGUAAAGCGCACGCAGGCGGUCUGUCAAGUCGGAUGUGAAAUCCCCGGGCUCAACCUGGGAACUGCAUUCGAAACUGGCAGGCUAGAGUCUUGUAGAGGGGGGUAGAAUUCCAGGUGUAGCGGUGAAAUGCGUAGAGAUCUGGAGGAAUACCGGUGGCGAAGGCGGCCCCCUGGACAAAGACUGACGCUCAGGUGCGAAAGCGUGGGGAGCAAACA
rnacentral:rRNA from 1 species